AUGAACACUCCUUAUGAGAAAGAACAUCACGUGCUUAUUGAGCCAGCAUUUUCCUCUCUUAAUUUCUAGCUAUGUCCAAGUCGUUCCCCCAUUUUCCCUUUUUUCCGCGUUAAUUUUUCUUCAAAGAAAAGAAGCUAUCAUCGUUCCCUUUAAAAUAAUACUUUGCUAGCUAUUAUUUUAAGCGUAAAACAUGGCAAAGCGUUGGUGGGAUGAAGAACCACCCCACAACACUCCAACAAGCAGCACCAACGGCGACCAAGACAACAACGAUGGCGGCGAUGACAAUAACAACUCCAGCGCGGCGGAGCGAAGAGAAGGAAGAGGCCGCAGGCCACGAGGCCGGCCACCGGGGUCAAAGAACAAGCCAAAACAACCGCUAGUGAUUAAGGAGGAGCUCCCAAACGCCCUUCAAAGUCAUAUUCUAGAGAUCAGCGACGGAGCAGACGUGGCUGAUUCCCUUUCCACUUUCGCAACCCGUCGUCACCGUGGCGUCGCCGUGCUAAGCGGAACCGGCACUGUCACUGACGUCAAUCUCGGGCAGCCCGCGGCGCCCGGAGGUGUCGUUUCACUCCAAGGAACUUUCCAGAUCCUUUCCCUCUCCGGUGCGAUUCUUCCCCCGCCAUCCCCGCCGAGCGCCACCGGACUAACGGUUUACCUCGCCGGAGUUCAAGGGGAGGUGGUUGGCGGUAGGGUGGUAGGACCGCUGGUGGCUUGUGGACCAGUGAUGGUGGUUGCAGCAACGUUUGCUAAUGCCACGUAUGAAAGGCUACCGUUUGAGGAAGAAGAAGAAGAAGAUGAUGAUCAGGAAGAAGAUGAAGUGAUGCGGGUGCAGGUGGAGCCGCAGCUGGAGCAACAAUCUGGUGUGAACGAGGGUUGUACUGGACCACCUGAACCACCAUCACAACCACCACAGGUUUACAGUAAUGAUCGUUCCGGUUUGUUCUCCGAUAACGGUGAAAUGGUGACGCAUGAUGAUGUAUUUUGGUGAUUGGAGGAAGCAUGCAGGUUAACUUUAUGUCUUUAACUAAUAAUUAAUUGAAGUAAAAAUUUAUAUACAAUUAUAUAGGGAGAGUUAAUAUUUGAAAACUGUUAUAUAAUUUAAUAGAUUUAGUUAAAUUAUUAUUUAAUAUUUUUUAAUUAUUAAUUUUAUACAAAAUAAUUAAUUAUAUUAGGUAGCAAUUUGAAUUUAAUUUAAUUUUUAUUUUAUUUAAAAAUAUUAAGAAAUUAAUAAUUUUUUUAUUUAUUUUAUUUAAAUGAUCAACAUUCUUUGUUUUUUUUUAUCUUUUUAUUAAAAUAUAAAUUUUUAAUAUUUUUUAUUGUUUUAAUGAAUGAUUAUUAAUUAGAAAAGUUAAUUUAAUUUCCUAUAACGUUUUUAUCCUUUAAGCUUUUGUUGAUUUUAUAUAAGUCUAUCACUUUUGUAUUGAAAGUGGAAAAAUUUUUGUGCCCCAGAUCUUAAUUUGGUCGGAUUAAUCAUGGAAGGUAGGUUUCGUACAUCUUGACACAUGAAUAAAUGAUGGAUGAGUAUAUAUUAAAUGGCCAAUUCUAUAGUAUCUAUGCAUUAGUGUCUAAAUUUUGUUUAAUUUAUUUUUUGUAAUAAAUUUUAAUUUUUUAAAAAUCAUUUAUUGUUGUAUUUUUAAAUUAAAUACUAUUUUUUUAAUUUUUUUUAAUAAAUAAAUACUAUGUUUUAAGCAUCAUAGCAUUUAUUUAAUUAAAUAAAUCUCAAAAAAAUUUGUGUCGACUUUUUUGUUGUUAAAAAAAAUUUUAUAUAUAAAAAAUUAAUAUUUAGGGAGCACUGUGAGGCUCCGCCUCUGGUACAAGAAGAGAGCUUAGACGCUUGUGGAAUAUGGUUAAGGGUGGUAAUAGGGAGAAUAAAGUAGGGUUUGAAACCAAUCCUAACCCUAUCUGCGGAUUGACAUUUUUAUAUAAAUUUAAUCCUAUUUUACUCGCGGGUUGAGAAUAUCUUAACCCUAAUCUUAUCCGUUCUCAACCUGCGGAUAUCCGACCCUACCUGCGGGUUACAAAAAAGAUGCAAAAUUAUUAUAUAAUUUCAUGAUAAUUUAAAAUAAAAUUAAUUUUUAUAUAAAAAAUAUUAAAUUAUCAAUUAAUGAUUUUUUUAGUGACUAAGGAUCUUUUAUAUUUAGUGAGAGGUUUUUAGUUCAACAUCGACUUGAAACAUAUUUUUAUAUAAAUAUAUAACAUAUCCAUAUAUAGAGUGCGAGUUGAUCAGAUAAAGUUGAGACUCAACCCACAUCCUAUCCGACCCGCACGAAAACUCAACCCGUAUCUUAUCCUAUUUACUGCGGAAGAUUGACAACCCUACCCGAUCGGAUAGGAUCGGAUUGGAUAGCCUCAGGUAGAAAGAAUCCAGAUUCAUGCUGAUGAAGGUGGAACAACCCAAAUCCGUGGAAGCAUAUAUUGUUUCAUUCUUUCUCUCAUUUUCUCUCUUUUCUUUUUCUUGUUAAUUAUUGCAUUUUAAUUUAGUGAGAAUGAAAUUCAUCCCGAUCUUGGUUCAUCAUUUUGGGAGAUAAUUUAGAUAAUUGUGUCAACGAAAUUUUUUACUGUUAAAAUAGAUGUUGCUUGUUUUAUUGUUGCUCUACUUAUUGUUUUCUUUGUAGUAAAAAAUUGUAUGUCAAUAUAAUUCAUUUUAUUAUUAUUCUUAAUAUGCUAUGACAAAUUAAAUUGAAUCUUUUCUUGUUCUGUUUAUGGUAUGUGCUUGGAAAAAGACCUUAAGUUAAGAAAGCGGGAGGACAAGGAAAAGAGGAAUUAUCUGAGAUUAGAAAAGGAGAAAAAAAAGAAAAAAGAGAAUUGGGAAUGGGUUGAGAAA